AGUUUCAUAGUUUAAUUGAAAAUAUCAGACUGCAAUUCUGAAGAUACACCAGUGUUGAAGCUU
rnacentral:tRNA from 1 species